AUUUACAGAGUGUACAUAGCCAAAACGCAUCCAUAGGAAACUGCUCGCUGAUACUUUGUAAUGCUGUUUUUUAAUUUGUGAUUUCAAAGUAUACACGAAUUUUGCGUAUUGCUUGCGUAUAUUUCGUAGCUUAGACGUGCACAUGUAUCUUUCCAAUCUAUAGACGGUCAAAUUUAACUAUACAAAAUUAAUAUUAGGUAAAGCAUUAAAUAAAAAUGGCUUUUGAAUCUGAGUUUGUUUAUUAAAAAUGCUAAUUAAACAGGCUUCUUUUUAAUAUCAUUAUUCGCCCCCAAAAAUGUAUGUUGCCUUCUAAAUUAUUAAGUCAGCCACAAUUAACGAGCAUCUAAAUAAUACUAUCUUAGCCACUAGCUAUCUUCUAAGUAAACCACUCUAAAUACAACUCAGCAUGAUGGUUACUUUUUAGCAUCUUUUGUAGCAGGCAUUCUAACAGUAAACUUCUAAAAUACUAUUAAAUGACAUCAUUAAAAUAUAUUUAAUUAGCUUAUUUUUUAACUCAGUCCCUCUUAUUAUAAAACGCGGUAUCAAAUAAGUAUCGGCUUUUGUACUACCUUUAAUCCACCUUUAAGUACGACCUUGAAAAAACGUUAUUACAAAACGCAGUUUAUCGCAAGUCCUAUUACUAUCUGUAGUACAAAAGAUAAACCAUCGAGCCCCCUAGUUUAACUGCAGUACUUAGUCGACAAACGUCAAAUUCCGACAUUAUUUACUUUUGAGGUUAUUUGUUUUGUGAUGAAAAAAAACGAAAGUGGAUAUAAAUAUGUGUGAUUUGGAAUACUUGGAUGUGUUAGAAUACUAUUGAGAGUGUCCGGGGACCCAACAGAAUGCGUCAUCGACAAAAUCUCUUCAAAUUACCUGACGACAAUUUUCGAUAUAAAUAUCGAUUUACGUUUUUCGAAAUAAUAGUCAAUUGAAUGCAUGAUGAUAAUCCAGGAUGAUCCUAUGAUGCUCAACUGGGCUCGCCAUAAAAUUCAAGACUAUUUUGGCGUUUUGCACGCCGUAUCUCUGCCAGUAAUAUGCAAUGUUUGUAAAAGACUGGAAGCUUGCUAAAAUGUACAAAAAUGCCUAGAUGAGAAAGGGAACAAGAUUGUGUGAUGAAGAACAGUGUCCAACAUGUAUCAGUGCAUUUGACUGUAUAAAUAGACAUCGGAAUAAAAUAUAAUUUUCUACUUU